GACGAACCGUGCGAACGUUGUUCGGAAUCAUUGGGCGUAAAGGGUGUGUAGGAGGCCAGGUAAGUCAGGUGUGAAAUCUCAGAGCUUAACUCUGAAACUGCGCUUGAUACUGCUUGGCUAGAGGAUCGGAGGGGGUAACGGAAUUUAUGGUGUAGCAGUGAAAUGCGUAGAUAUCAUAAGGAACACCGGUGGCGAAGGCGGUUACCUGGAAGAUUCCUGACUCUGAAACACGAAAGCCAGGGGAGCAAACGGG
rnacentral:rRNA from 1 species